CGGGUUGCUCAGAGCAUCUACGUGGGGAUGAUUCAUCCCACAAUAAAGCCCCUCUCCUGUUGCUCUCCUGCCAGUGUGAUUAGCAAUGGAGGUCUUUGACCCAGGCAGUCACCGCUCUCAAGGAACAAGUGUCCAUGAAGAAGCAGCCUGAGCUGUUAGGCAUCUGCCUUUGCUCAAGACAUCCUCUGCCUACCCUGGCAGUUACCCUGGAUGGUUUUGCUGUCGUGAUUAAAACACAGAUGGAGCUCAUCCCUUCCCUGGGUGUUUGAUUGGCAGACUCUCUGUGAUCAGCACUCUUCUCUGGUGAACACAUCAGCGCCAUCUGCCUUCUGUCUGCCUGGAGAGACUUGCCACAGUAGAGCUUCCUCAGCCUCACAUGAACCGCUGCAAAGGAUGUGCGCUCCUUUUGCUGAAGCCGUCAAAUAAAAAAGCUUUUUCAUGAAAAGCUAAAUAGAAUACAUGAAGAUUUUCACGACAGUAGGCUUCCGGAUUAAUGAAAUAUUCAUUUAAAUUGGACUUGGAGGAUAUGUCACUUCUUUUCUUUGAUUAAAAUAUUUAGAGCAUAACACAAAAUCACUGUGUCUUGAAAAAGCCAAACUUCAAGGAAAUUCAGCUGAUGGGGCAUCUUGUUUUCAGUGAGGUUGUUAAAGAUGAUUUUUCCAACCAGGGUCAGGUGCUUGGAACCGUUAGGUGAAUGCUAGGCAUGGUGGGAGUCCUCUUGUGUGCUUAAGAGUUUAAGAGAUCGAACCCAAUAGAUAGUAAGCUUCUUUCAAAGAGAAUGCUAAUUUUAAUGUUUUUAUGACUUAAAUAGAUUGUAAUAAGUUAUUACUUCCUAAUUUAGAUGUUGGUAUGACGACUGGGCAGACGCAUGUUCUUGUUCCACAUCAACAUUGUAUGACUGCAGAGUGUAGCCUGAGUGCUUAGGAAAGGGUACUUUUACGAUAUUGGAAGACUGGACAUCGUGACAUUAGGAGGAGGGAGGGGGUUACUGGGCUGUUCUAAAAUUAGCAAUGUGAAGAGCUGGUUCAAACUUAAUUGCCUAGGUGUGGAAGAAAUAUACUUGUAUUGUGCUUAAUAAUGUGAAUUAUCUGUAUCAUUAAAUAACAGGAAACCCGUUUGAGUUUCUUCUUCCUGUCCAAAUAAAUAAAUAAAUAAAUAAAUAAAUAUAAUUAACACAG